rnacentral:misc_RNA from 1 species
GUAACGGCGAGUGAAGCGGCAACAGCUCAAAUUUGAAAUCUGGCUCUCGGGCCCGAGUUGUAAUUUGUAGAGGAUGCUUUUGAUGCGGUGCCUUCCGAGUUCCCUGGAACGGGACGCCAUAGAGGGUGAGAGCCCCGUCUGGUUGGAUGCCAAAUCUCUGUAAAGCUCCUUCGACGAGUCGAGUAGUUUGGGAAUGCUGCUCUAAAUGGGAGGUAUAUGUCUUCUAAAGCUAAAUACCGGCCAGAGACCGAUAGCGCACAAGUAGAGUGAUCGAAAGAUGAAAAGCACUUUGAAAAGAGAGUUAAAAAGUACGUGAAAUUGUUGAAAGGGAAGCGUUUAUGACCAGACUUGGGCUUGGUUAAUCAUCUGGGGUUCUCCCCAGUGCACUUUUCCAGUCCAGGCCAGCAUCAGUUUUCGCCGGGGGAUAAAGGCUUCGGGAAUGUGGCUCUCUCCGGGGAGUGUUAUAGCCCGUUGCGUAAUACCCUGGCGGGGACUGAGGUUCGCGCAUCUGCAAGGAUGCUGGCGUAAUGGUCAUCAACGACCCGUCUUGAAACACGGACCAAGGAGUCGUCUUCGUAUGCGAGUGUUCGGGUGUCAAACCCCUACGCGUAAUGAAAGUGAACGCAGGUGAGAGCUUCGGCGCAUCAUCGACCGAUCCUGAUGUUCUCGGAUGGAUUUGAGUAAGAGCAUACGGGGCCGGACCCGAAAGAAGGUGAACUAUGCCUGUGUAGGGUGAAGCCAGAGGAAACUCUGGUGGAGGCUCGCAGCGGUUCUGACGUGCAAAUCGAUCGUCAA